rnacentral:tRNA from 8 species
GCUCCCGUGGCCUAAUGGCUAAGGCGUCUGACUUCUAAUCAGAAGAUUGCCAGUUCGAUCCUGGCCGGGAGCU